GAUGAAGAACGUAGUGAAAUGCGAUAAGUAAUGUGAAUUGCAGAAUUCAGUGAAUCAUCGAAUCUUUGAACGCACAUUGCGCCCGCCAGUAUUCUGGCGGGCAUGCCUGUUCGAGCGUCAUUUCAACCAUCAAGCCCCAGGCUUGUGUUGGGGACCUGCGGCUGCCGCAGGCCCUGAAAACCAGUGGCGGGCUCGCUAGUCACACCGAGCGUAGUAGCAUACACAUCGCUCAGGGCGUGCUGCGGGUUCCGGCCGUUAAACCCCUUUUUUACCCAAGGUUGACCUCGGAUCAGGUAGGAAGACCCGCUGAACUUAAGCAUAUCAAUAAGCGGAGGA
rnacentral:misc_RNA from 1 species